rnacentral:lncRNA from 1 species
AUACACAAGCUAAGAUCUAUUUAUAGGGUACAGGGAAGGGUAAAAUAGUAAAAUUGGUGUCAUCGCAUGCACUUGGCGUGGUCGAAGGGUAUAUCAGGAAUUUCAUCUUCACGCGGGAAAACCCUCCGCGUCUUUGGCGAUCCUUCUGAUGGAGGCGAUUUCUCUGGCACGGAUGACUUCUCUGGCGCGGAGGACUUCUCUGACGUGAAUGACUUCUCUGACGAUGAUGACUUCUCU